CCCUUAGAUGGUCUGGGCGGCACGCGCGCUACAAUGAUGCAUUCAAAAAGUCUUCUGACCUUAGAAGGUUGGGUAUUCUCCGAAGUGCAUCGUGAUGGGAAUAGUUUAUUGCAAUUUUUAAUCUUGAACGAGGAAUUCCUAGUAAGUACAGGUCAUCAACUUGUGUUGAUUACGUCCCUGCCCUUUGUACACACCGCCCGUCGCUCCUACUGAUUGAGUGUCUCGGUGAAUUCUUUGAUCUUCUGUCGAUUCAGUUCACUGAUCCGACGGUGGAAAGUUGAAUGAACUUCGUCACUUAGAGGAAGGAGAAGUCGUAACA
rnacentral:rRNA from 1 species